CCCCUAGAUGUUCUGGGCCGCACGCGCGCUACACUGAACAGUACAACAAGUCUUAACCUUGGCCGAUAGGUCUGGGUAAUCUUUGAACGCUGUUCGUGAUUGGGAUAGACCUUUGCAAUUAUGGGUCUUCAACGAGGAAUUCCUAGUAAACGCAAGUCAUCAGCUUGCAUUGAUUACGUCCCUGCCCUUUGUACACACCGCCCGUCGCACCUACCGAUUGAAUGGUCCGGUGAAAUCUCGGGACGGCGGCUUGGUCGCUUGCGUCCGACUGCUGAAACUUGAUUAAACCAUAUCAUUUAGAGGAAGGUGAANUCGUAACA
rnacentral:rRNA from 1 species